GUUUGCCAACUUGACAUAAGUUGACCCAGCUUUGUCCCAUGAUUUGGCGAGCUUGAAGGAAUUGGCAGCUUUAUCGAAGAGAUCAGCGGCAUCUUCAAAUUUGGAGCCAAAUAAGCCCCAACCGCUAAGCUUCUUCUCAGCUUUCUUCUCGAAUUCCUCUCCUCGCGCCAUCUGAUCUCCCAUUUUCAAAGCCUUUUUCUUAUAUUCAAUGAUCGGUGAAUGUGGAAUUCGAAAUCGAGAGUGUUAAGUUAAGCAAAACAAGAGAAGAAGAUCAAGAAAGGAAAUGAACUCGAUGUGAUUGAGAAGUGGUCCAAGGAAAGGAAAAGGAAGAAAAGGAAUGUAG
rnacentral:misc_RNA from 1 species